GGGCCACUUCUAUACAUAGCAGUCGAACGGUAACAGGGAGCAGCUUGCUGCUCUGCUGACGAGUGGCGGACGGGUGAGUAAUGUCUGGGGAUCUGCCCGAUGGAGGGGGAUAACCACUGGAAACGGUGGCUAAUACCGCAUAACGUCGCAAGACCAAAGUGGGGGACCUUCGGGCCUCACACCAUCGGAUGAACCCAGAUGGGAUUAGCUAGUAGGUGGGGUAACGGCUCACCUAGGCGACGAUCCCUAGCUGGUCUGAGAGGAUGACCAGCCACACUGGAACUGAGACACGGUCCAGACUCCUACGGGAGGCAGCAGUGGGGAAUAUUGCACAAUGGGCGCAAGCCUGAUGCAGCCAUGCCGCGUGUAUGAAGAAGGCCUUCGGGUUGUAAAGUACUUUCAGCGGGGAGGAAGGGAGCGAGGUUAAUAACCUGGUUCAUUGACGUUACCCGCAGAAGAAGCACCGGCUAACUCCGUGCCAGCAGCCGCGGUAAUACGGAGGGUGCAAGCGUUAAUCGGAAUUACUGGGCGUAAAGCGCACGCAGGCGGUCUGUCAAGUCGGAUGUGAAAUCCCCGGGCUCAACCCGGGAACUGCAUUCGAAACUGGCAGGCUAGAGUCUUGUAGAGGGGGGUAGAAUUCCAGGUGUAGCGGUGAAAUGCGUAGAGAUCUGGAGGAAUACCGGUGGCGAAGGCGGCCCCCUGGACAAAGACUGACGCUCAGGUGCGAAAGCGUGGGGAGCAAACAGGAUUAGAUACCCUGGUAGUCCACGCCGUAAACGAUGUCGACUUGGAGGCUGUGAGCUUGACUCGUGGCUUCCGGAGCUAACGCGUUAAGUCGACCGCCUGGGGAGUACGGCCGCAAGGUUAAAACUCAAAUGAAUUGACGGGGGCCCGCACAAGCGGUGGAGCAUGUGGUUUAAUUCGAUGCAACGCGAAGAACCUUACCUGGCCUUGACAUCCACGGAAUUCUGCAAAGAUGCGGAAGUGCCUUCGGGAACCGUGAAACAGGUGCUGCAUGGCUGUCGUCAGCUCGUG
rnacentral:rRNA from 1 species